GGUUUGAUUAUGGCUCAGAUUGAACGCUGGCGGGAUGCUUUACAUGCAAGUCGAACGGCAGCACGGACUUCGGUCUGGUGGCGAGUGGCGAACGGGUGAGUAAUGUAUCGGAACGUGCCUAGUAGCGGGGAUAACUACGCGAAAGCGUAGCUAAUACCGCAUACCGCCCUUCGGGGGAAAGCGGGGGACCUUCGGGCCUCGCACUAUUAGAGCGGCCGAUAUCGGAUUAGCUAGUUGGUGGGGUAACGGCUCACCAAGGCGACGAUCCGUAGCCGGUUUGAGAGGACGACCAGCCACACUGGGACUGAGACACGGCCCAGACUCCUACGGAGGCAGCAGUGGGGAAAUUUUGGACAAUGGGGAAACUCCCGAUCCAGCCAUCCCGCGUGUGCGAUGGAAGGCCUUCGGGCUGUAAAGCACUUUUGGCAGGAAAGAAACGGCACGGGAUAAUACCCCGUGCAACUGACGGUACCUGCAGAACAAGCACCGGCUAAUCACGUGCCAGCAGCCGCGGUAAUACGGGGUGCAAGCGUUAAUCGGAAUUACUGGGCGUAAAGGUGCGCAGGCGGUUCGGAAAGAAAGAUGUGAAAUCCUGAGCUUAACUUUGGAACUGCAUUUUUAACUACCGAGCUAGAGUGGUGUCAGAGGGAGGUGGAAUUCGUAGCAGUGAAAUGCGUAGAUAUGCGGAGAACACCGAUGGCGAAGGCAGCCUCCUGGGAUAACACUGACGCUCAUGCACGAAAGCGUGGGGAGCAAACAGGAUUAGAUACUCCUGGUAGUCCACGCCCUAAACGAUGUCAACUAGCUGUUGGGGCCUUCGGGCUCUUGGUAGCGCAGUUAACGCGCGAAGUUGACCGCCUGGGGAGUACGGUCGCAAGAUUAAAACUCAAAGGAAUUGGACGGGGACCCGCACAAGCGGUGGACGAUGUGGAUUAAUUCGAUGCAACGCGAAAACCUUACCUACCCUUGACAUGUUCGGGAACUCGAAGAUUUGGGAGUGCUCGCAAAGAGAACCGGAACACAGGUGCUGCAUGGCUGUCGUCAGCUCGUGUCGUGAGAUGUUGGGUUAAGUCCCGCAACGAGCGCAAACCUCCUUGUCAUUAGUUGCUACGAAAGGGCACUCUAAUGAGACUGCCGGUGACAAACCGGAGGAAGGUGGGGAUGACGUCAAGUCCUCAUGGCCCUGGUAGGGUCACGUCAUACAAUGGUCGGGACAGAGGGUCGCCAACCCGCGAGGGUUAAUCCUGCAAACCCGAUCGUAGUCCGGAUCGCAGUCUGCAACUCGACUGCGUGAAGUCGGAAUCGCUAGUAAUCGCGGAUCAGCAUGUCACGGUGAAUACGUUCCCGGGUCUUGUACACACCGCCCGUCACACCAUGGGAGUGGGUUUUACCAGAAGUAGUUAGCCUAACCGUAAGGAGGGCGAUUACCACGGUAGGAUUCAUGACUGGGGUGAAGUCGUAACAAGGUAG
rnacentral:rRNA from 1 species